rnacentral:rRNA from 1 species
CGAUCCAUGGGGGUCAGGGCGUUAUAAUUAAGCCAUAGCGAAAGUGAGUCUUCAUAGAGCAAUUGUCACUACUUAUGGACUCAAACCUGUGUGAUCUAUCCAUGAUCGGGAUGAAGUUUGUAUGAAACUAAGUGGAGGUUCAAACCGACUGAUGUUGAAGAAUCAGCGAAUGAGUUGUGAUUAGGUGUGAAAUGCCACUUGAACACAAAGCUAGCUGGUUCUUCUCAAAAUACAUUGAGGCGUAGCAAUUGAUUGGACAUCUAGGGGUAAAACACUGUCUAGGUGCAGUUUGUAAGAGCGGUAUCAAAUCGAGGUAAACUCUGAAUAUUAUAUAUGACCUCAAAAUAACAGGGGUUAAGAUCGGCCAGUGAGACGAUGGGGAAUAAGCUUCAUCGUCGAAAGAGAAACAGUCCAGAUCACUAGCUAAGGUCUCUAAAUGAUCGCUCUGUGAUAAAGGAGGUACGGGUGGAGGGAUAGUCAGGAGCUUUUAGAAUAUUAACUAUGCUCUCAAAGAAGUACUGAAUUUUGAGUAUUGACUAUUGCUCUUGAAGAUGCAUUUUGAAUCAAUUUUGUUGCUGUAAUCUUGAAAUAGCACAAUUCUCGAAAAAUAUUAUACAAUCUAACUGCAGUUCUUGAUUAUUCAUGAUGUGUUGAAAGUUAAUUCUUUAUGAAGAAAAAGCCACUGACGUAAAAAUG